AAUUUUAAUUAAAUAUAUAUAAUUACAUACAUCUAA
rnacentral:sRNA from 1 species